AUGUAGAGCAAUCUCUGUCUAAGUAGGGGUAAAUUACUCUUAAAAAAAAGAAAAAAGAAAAAAAAAUCCUAGAUAGUUUUCCCUUCAAGUAAAGCGUCUUGU
rnacentral:pre_miRNA from 1 species